UCGGGAAUUUUGGGCAAUGGGCGAAAGCCUGAUCCAGCAACGCCGCGUGAGGGAUGAAGUAUUUCGGUAUGUAAACCUCGAAAGAAUGGGAAGAAUAAAUGACGGUACCAUUUAUAAGCUCCGGCUAACUACGUGCCAGCAGCCGCGGUAAUACGUAGGGAGCAAGCGCUGUUCGGAUUUACUGGGGGUAAAGGGCGCGUAGGCGGCGCGGUAAGUCACUUGUGAAAUCUCUGGGCUUAACUCAGAACGGCCAAGUGAUACUGCUGUGCUAGAGUGCGGAAGAGGCAACCGGAAUUCUUGGUGUAGCGGUGAAAUGCGUAGAGAUCAAGAGGAACACCUGAGGCGAAGGCGGGUUGCUGGGCCGACACUGACGCUGAUGCGCGAAAGCCAGGGGAGCAAAC
rnacentral:rRNA from 1 species